GACGAACGCUGGCGGCGUGCUUAACACAUGCAAGUCGAACGAAGUGGCGAUCGGGUGAGUAAUACGUGGGUAACCUGCCCUCCUUUUUGGGUUAAGCCUUCGAAACGGGGUCUAAUAUCGAAUCCAGGGGGAUGGGCUCGCGGCCUAUCAGCUUGUUGGUGGGGUUCUGGCUUACCAUGGCGGUGACGGGUAGCCGGCCUGAGAGGGAGAGCGGACACAUUGGGAGUGAUAUACGGCCCAGACACCAACGGGAGGCAGCAGGGGGGGAAAGUGCACAAUGGGGGAGAGCCUGAGCCAAGUACGCCGCGUGGGGGUUGGGGGCUUGCUGGUUGUAAACCUCUUUAGCUAACGAACGGGUAAGUGGCGAGAAAGCGCCGGCUAACUACGUGCCAGCAGCCGCGGUAAUAC
rnacentral:rRNA from 1 species